rnacentral:rRNA from 1 species
UUUCUAUGGAGAGUUUGAUCCUGGCUCAGGACGAACGCUGGCGGCGUGCCUAAUACAUGCAAGUCGAGCGGACCGAGCAGGAGCUUGC